AGAGUUUGAUCCUGGCUCAGAUUGAACGCUGGCGGAAUGCUUUACACAUGCAAGUCGAACGGCAGCACGGACUUCGGUCUGGUGGCGAGUGGCGAACGGGUGAGUAAUAUAUCGGAACGUGCCCAGUCGUGGGGGAUAACGUAGCGAAAGUUACGCUAAUACCGCAUACGAUCUAAGGAUGAAAGCGGGGGAUCGCAAGACCUCGCGCGAUUGGAGCGGCCGAUAUCAGAUUAGGUAGUUGGUGAGGUAAAGGCUCACCAAGCCCGCGAUCUGUAGCUGGUCUGAGAGGACGACCAGCCACACUGGAACUGAGACACGGUCCAGACUCCUACGGGAGGCAGCAGUGGGGAAUUUUGGACAAUGGACGCAAGUCUGAUCCAGCCAUUCCGCGUGCAGGAUGAAGGCCCUCGGGUUGUAAACUGCUUUUGUACAGAACGAAAAGGUCUCUCCUAAUACGAGAGGCUCAUGACGGUACUGUAAGAAUAAGCACCGGCUAACUACGUGCCAGCAGCCGCGGUAAUAC
rnacentral:rRNA from 1 species